GAUGAACGCUGGCGGCGUGCCUAAUACAUGCAAGUCGAGCGAACGGACGAGAAGCUUGCUUUUCUGAUGUUAGCGGCGGACGGGUGAGUAACACGUGGAUAACCUACCUAUAAGACUGGGAUAACUUCGGGAAACCGGAGCUAAUACCGGAUAAUAUUUUGAACCGCAUGGUUCAAAAGUGAAAGACGGUCUUGCUGUCACUUAUAGAUGGAUCCGCGCUGCAUUAGCUAGUUGGUAAGGUAACGGCUUACCAAGGCAACGAUGCAUAGCCGACCUGAGAGGGUGAUCGGCCACACUGGAACUGAGACACGGUCCAGACUCCUACGGGAGGCAGCAGUAGGGAAUCUUCCGCAAUGGGCGAAAGCUGACGGAGCAACGCCGCGUGAGUGAUGAAGGUCUUCGGAUCANUAAACUCUGUUAUUAGGGAAGAACGUAUGUGUAAGUAACUGUGCACAUCUUGACGGUACCUAAUCAGAAAGCCACGGCUAACUACGUGCCAGCAGCCGCGGUAAUACGUAGGUGGCAAGCGUUAUCCGGAAUUAUUGGGCGUAAAGCGCGCGUAGCGGUUUUUUAAGUCUGAUGUGAAAGCCCACGGCUCAACCGUGGAGGGUCAUUGGAAACUGGAAAACUUGAGUGCAGAAGAGGAAAGUGGAAUUCCAUGUGUAGCGGUGAAAUGCGCAGAGAUAUGGAGGAACACCAGUGGCGAAGGCGACUUUCUGGUCUGUAACUGACGCUGAUGUGCGAAAGCGUGGGGAUCAAACAGGAUUAGAUACCCUGGUAGUCCACGCCGUAAACGAUGAGUGCUAAGUGUUAGGGGGUUUCCGCCCCUUAGUGCUGCAGCUAACGCAUUAAGCACUCCGCCUGGGGAGUACGACCGCAAGGUUGAAACUCAAAGGAAUUGACGGGGACCCGCACAAGCGGUGGAGCAUGUGGUUUAAUUCGAAGCAACGCGAAGAACCUUACCAAAUCUUGACAUCCUUUGACAACUCUAGAGAUAGAGCCUUCCCCUUCGGGGGACAAAGUGACAGGUGGUGCAUGGUUGUCGUCAGCUCGUGUCGUGAGAUGUUGGGUUAAGUCCCGCAACGAGCGCAACCCUUAAGCUUAGUUGCCAUCAUUAAGUUGGGCACUCUAAGUUGACUGCCGGUGACAAACCGGAGGAAGGUGGGGAUGACGUCAAAUCAUCAUGCCCCUUAUGAUUUGGGCUACACACGUGCUACAAUGGACAAUACAAAGGGCAGCGAAACCGCGAGGUCAAGCAAAUCCCAUAAAGUUGUUCUCAGUUCGGAUUGUAGUCUGCAACUCGACUACAUGAAGCUGGAAUCGCUAGUAAUCGUAGAUCAGCAUGCUACGGUGAAUACGUUCCCGGGUCU
rnacentral:rRNA from 1 species